CUCGAUGUGCUACUAAAGGCUUCAUCUAACGCCAGAUCAAAUCAUCUCCGGGACAGGUACACAAAUCGAAACUACCUAGAACUUGGAGAAAACCAUGCCGAAGCCGAGCGCUUCCAAGGCGACAGGGAAGACCUGCAGGUUCAUCAGUGGUGUGGUGGAAGGGAGAAGAAGUGGGGUCUGAACACGUACCUCUACGCCCCUAAAGAUGACUACAAACACAGAAUGUACUGGAGGACCUAUACUCACCUGAGGAGGCAGGUUAGGAGGACACAGCGUCACACACACACACACACACACACACACACACAGCGUUGCAAACCCC
rnacentral:lncRNA from 1 species